UGAGCUGCUUACAGUUACUGUUGCUUUCAGUUCCACUUACACUUACUUACUGUUGCUUACAGUUACUGUGUGAAGGUGGGUGAGAAAGUAUGUAAGGCAGUAAGACCAGUCUGGGCUCACUGCCAGGGGACCAUGCGGCCGGGACAGGGAAACAACCUGCAGAUUCACCUUUAGUAGCUUUGAUUUGUCACUUGAAAUUCUGUUUUCUACAUGAAGAAGAUUAUCUUGAGCAUUACUUCAAGCCAAACUUAUGCAUGCAUAAAGACUUCUGAGUUACUGCUUGACAUGCUGCAGAGCCCACCUGCAUCUCUGCUGUCAUGGCAGGUCAAGACUCCUGAGAGUGCGAGGACAAAAACAGGCUGCACAGCAUUGGUGAGGAUGAGCAA